GAUGAACGCUGGCGGCGUGCCUAAUACAUGCAAGUCGAGCGAACGGACGAGAAGCUUGCUUCUCUGAUGUUAGCGGCGGACGGGUGAGUAACACGUGGAUAACCUACCUAUAAGACUGGGAUAACUUCGGGAAACCGGAGCUAAUACCGGAUAAUAUUUUGAACCGCAUGGUUCAAAAGUGAAAGACGGUCUUGCUGUCACUUAUAGAUGGAUCCGCGCUGCAUUAGCUAGUUGGUAAGGUAACGGCUUACCAAGGCAACGACGCAUGGCCGACCUGAGAGGGUGAUCGGCCACACUGGAACUGAGACACGGUCCAGACUCCUACGGGAGGCAGCAGUAGGGAAUCUUCCGCAAUGGGCGAAAGCCUGACGGAGCAACGCCGCGUGAGUGAUGAAGGUCUUCGGAUCGUAAAACUCUGUUAUUAGGGAAGAACAUAUGUGUAAGUAACUGUGCACAUCUUGACGGUACCUAAUCAGAAAGCCACGGCUAACUACGUGCCAGCAGCCGCGGUAAUACGUAGGUGGCAAGCGUUAUCCGGAAUUAUUGGGCGUAAAGCGCGCGUAGGCGGUUUUUUAAGUCUGAUGUGAAAGCCCACGGCUCAACCGUGGAGGGUCAUUGGAAACUGGAAAACUUGAGUGCAGAAGAGGAAAGUGGAAUUCCAUGUGUAGCGGUGAAAUGCGCAGAGAUAUGGAGGAACACCAGUGGCGAAGGCGACUUUCUGGUCUGUAACUGACGCUGAUGUGCGAAAGCGUGGGGAUCAAACAGGAUUAGAUACCCUGGUAGUCCACGCCGUAAACGAUGAGUGCUAAGUGUUAGGGGGUUUCCGCCCCUUAGUGCUGCAGCUAACGCAUUAAGCACUCCGCCUGGGGAGUACGACCGCAAGGUUGAAACUCAAAGGAAUUGACGGGGACCCGCACAAGCGGUGGAGCAUGUGGUUUAAUUCGAAGCAACGCGAAGAACCUUACCAAAUCUUGACAUCCUUUGACAACUCUAGAGAUAGAGCCUUCCCCUUCGGGGGACAAAGUGACAGGUGGUGCAUGGUUGUCGUCAGCUCGUGUCGUGAGAUGUUGGGUUAAGUCCCGCAACGAGCGCAACCCUUAAGCUUAGUUGCCAUCAUUAAGUUGGGCACUCUAAGUUGACUGCCGGUGACAAACCGGAGGAAGGUGGGGAUGACGUCAAAUCAUCAUGCCCCUUAUGAUUUGGGCUACACACGUGCUACAAUGGACAAUACAAAGGGCAGCGAAACCGCGAGGUCAAGCAAAUCCCAUAAAGUUGUUCUCAGUUCGGAUUGUAGUCUGCAACUCGACUACAUGAAGCUGGAAUCGCUAGUAAUCGUAGAUCAGCAUGCUACGGUGAAUACGUUCCCGGGUCU
rnacentral:rRNA from 1 species